rnacentral:lncRNA from 1 species
ACUGACACUGCUGCACUGCCUCCCUUCCUGAGGCAUCACCUCCUGCUCUGUGUGCCACAGACUGAGAGUCCCUCUGAGGCAAAACCCUCCAAGUGCCCUGGAGACACCAAGCUGGACACUCUGUGGUCACAUCAGGAAAUGCUGUAGGGAAGAAAGUGUGCUGUCACCUGUAAGUGUGUAUAACAGUUCGAGUUUAUGUUUGAGGAAAAGAGAGCAGAGUGGCUACAAGGGUCACUGAUAAUGGUCUUAGAGCUCCUUUGGGCGAGUGUGAGUGACAGACUGUUAAAUUAAAAGCUAUUGAUAUGGACUUACCAUGAAGGACCUGCCUGUUUAAUCCACAACUUUUCAAAACACCUGC